rnacentral:lncRNA from 1 species
AAAACUUCACGUAACGGAAAUUAAGGGGGUAUUCCAGUGUAGAGGCAUGAAUUUGAGGUGUUUUUUGAAGUGCUAUAAACAAAAAACAA